CCUACGGGAGGCAGCAGUGGGGAAUUUUGGACAAUGGGGGAAACCCUGAUCCAGCCAUUCCGCGUGAGUGAAGAAGGCCUUCGGGUUGUAAAGCUCUUUCGGCAGGAACGAAACGGCGGACUCUAACAUAGUCUGUCAAUGACGGUACCUGAAGAAGAAGCACCGGCUAACUACGUGCCAGCAGCCGCGGUAAUACGUAGGGUGCGAGCGUUAAUCGGAAUUACUGGGCGUAAAGCGCGCGCAGGCGGCUUGGUAAGUCGGAUGUGAAAGCCCUGGGCUUAACCUAGGAAGUGCAUUCGAGACUGCAAGGCUAGAGUGCGGCAGAGGGGGGUGAAAUUCCUGGUGUAGCAGUAAAAUGCGUAGAGAUCGGGAGGAACACCGAUGGCGAAGGCGGCCCCCUGGGUGGGCACUGACGCU
rnacentral:rRNA from 1 species